rnacentral:rRNA from 1 species
UACGUAGGGGGCAAGCGUUGUCCGGAUUUAUUGGGCGUAAAGAGCUCGUAGGCGGUCUGUCGCGUCGGCUGUGAAAACCCAGGGCUCAACCCUGGGCCUGCAGUCGAUACGGGCAGACUAGAGUCCGGCAGGGGAGACUGGAAUUCCUGGUGUAGCGGUGAAAUGCGCAGAUAUCAGGAGGAACACCGGUGGCGAAGGCAGAUCUCUGGGCCGCAACUGACGCUGAGGAGCGAAAGCAUGGGGAGCGAACAGG